rnacentral:rRNA from 1 species
CGGCAGGCCUAACACAUGCAAGUCGAGCGGUAGAGAGGUGCUUGCAUCUCUUGAGAGCGGCGGACGGGUGAGUAAUAUAUCGGAACGUGCCCAGUCGUGGGGGAUAACGUAGCGAAAGUUACGCUAAUACCGCAUACGAUCUACGGAUGAAAGCGGGGGAUCGCAAGACCUCGCGCGAUUGGAGCGGCCGAUAUCAGAUUAGGUAGUUGGUGAGGUAAAGGCUCACCAAGCCGACGAUCUGUAGCUGGUCUGAGAGGACGACCAGCCACACUGGGACUGAGACACGGCCCAGACUCCUACGGGAGGCAGCAGUGGGGAAUUUUGGACAAUGGGCGCAAGCCUGAUCCAGCAAUGCCGCGUGCAGGAUGAAGGCCUUCGGGUUGUAAACUGCUUUUGUACGGAACGAAACGGUGAGCUCUAAUACAGUUUGCUAAUGACGGUACCGUAAGAAUAAGCACCGGCUAACUACGUG